rnacentral:rRNA from 1 species
UGUUUCGGCUAGGGGGCCAUCCCGGCUUACCAACCCGAUGCAAACUGCGAAUACCGGAGAAUGUUAUCACGGGAGACACACGGCGGGUGCUAACGUCCGUCGUGAAGAGGGAAACAACCCAGACCGCCAGCUAAGGUCCCAAAGUCAUGGUUAAGUGGGAAACGAUGUGGGAAGGCCCAGACAGCCAGGAUGUUGGCUUAGAAGCAGCCAUCAUUUAAAGAAAGCGUAAUAGCUCACUGGUCGAGUCGGCCUGCGCGGAAGAUGUAACGGGGCUAAACCAUGCACCGAAGCUGCGGCAGCGACGCUUAUGCGUUGUUGGGUAGGGGAGCGUUCUGUAAGCCUGCGAAGGUGGCCUGUGAGGGUUGCUGGAGGUAUCAGAAGUGCGAAUGCUGACAUAAGUAACGAUAAAGCGGGUGAAAAGCCCGCUCGCCGGAAGACCAAGGGUUCCUGUCCAACGUUAAUCGGGGCAGGGUGAGUCGACCCCUAAGGCGAGGCCGAAAGGCGUAGUCGAUGGGAAACGGGUUAAUAUUCCCGUACUUGGUGUUACUGCGAAGGGGGGACGGAGAAGGCUAUGUUGGCCGGGCGACGGUUGUCCCGGUUUAAGCGUGUAGGUGUGUGUUCCAGGUAAAUCCGGUUCACUUUAACACUGAGGCGUGACGACGAGGCACCACGGUGCUGAAGCAACAAAUGCCCUGCUUCCAGG